AGCGAACGCUGGCGGCAGGCCUAACACAUGCAAGUCGAACGAACCCUUCGGGGUUAGUGGCGGACGGGUGAGUAACACGUGGGAACGUGCCUUUAGGUUCGGAAUAACUCAGGGAAACUUGUGCUAAUACCGAAUGUGCCCUUCGGGGGAAAGAUUUAUCGCCCUUAGAGCGGCCCGCGUCUGAUUAGCUAGUUGGUGAGGUAAUGGCUCACCAAGGCUACGAUCAGUAGCUGGUCUGAGAGGAUGACCAGCCACAUUGGGACUGAGACACGGCCCAAACUCCUACGGGAGGCAGCAGUGGGGAAUCUUGCGCAAUGGGCGAAAGCCUGACGCAGCCAUGCCGCGUGGAUGAUGAAGGUCUUAGGAUUGUAAAAUCCUUUCACCGGUGAAGAUAAUGACUGUAGCCGGAGAAGAAGCCCCGGCUAACUUCGUGACAGCCGCCGCCGUAAGAC
rnacentral:rRNA from 1 species